rnacentral:rRNA from 1 species
UGGGGAAUAUUGCACAAUGGGGGAAACCCUGAUGCAGCGACGCCGCGUGAACGAAGAAGGUAUUCGUAUCGUAAAGUUCUGUCCUAUGGGAAGAUAAUGACAGUACCAUAGAAGAAAGCUCCGGCUAAAUACGUGCCAGCAGCCGCGGUAAUACGUAUGGAGCGAGCGUUGUCCGGAAUUAUUGGGCGUAAAGGGUACGCAGGCGGUUUAAUAAGUCGAAUGUUAAAGAUCGGGGCUCAACCCCGUAAAGCAUUGGAAACUGAUAAACUUGAGUAGUGGAGAGGAAAGUGGAAUUCCUAGUGUAGUGGUGAAAUACGUAGAUAUUAGGAGGAAUACCAGUAGCGAAGGCGACUUUCUGGACACAAACUGACGCUGAGGUACGAAAGCGUGGGGAGCAAACAGGAUUAGAUACCCGGGUAGUCCCUGAGCGGGCUGGCAAGGCGCAU